GUUUUCCUUCAAUUUUUCCAAGUCGGCAACAACUCGGUCCCUUUCUGCGACCAAAGAAUUAUAGAACCUUCUAAGAAGGUCGUAGUCUAACUUAAGCAUUUCAUAUUCGUCACGAAGCUCUUCAUGAUCGUGACAAAUCUGAUCGUAUAAACCUCUUAAAUAUUUUCUUUCCUCGUAAUUUGUGUCCUUAACUUCAAAGCNAUUGUAGUAGUUACAUGUUAUAGUUGGUUACUACCUGUUUACUUCUUUUGCCUACAUAUGCCUGAAUAGACCUAGUGGGUGAGUCGGCGAGGUCGGCGGCCGAACCCACUGGAAACUUUCAAUAGUUCUCACACCACUAACUAUACAGGUUCCAGUGCAAGCGGUGUGGCCGAGGACCGUGGCAAGAGCCCCGCAGCCUAGCUAGCUGACACCAGAGUAUAGCAGUUUACCAUUUUGGUUUUCAUGUUACACAUUUUGAUGUAUAGAGAUAUGUAAAUGAAUGUAUUUAAGAGAAUGUAAAUAACUAAAUGUUUCAGUUAUUCAGUUUCAUACAGUUCAGUUCAAAGUUUUAAAUUACAGUGAAUUUCAUGUAUAGCUAGAUUACUAUCACUUGGAAUUGUUGCUUGUCCUCGUGCAAGCCAUGUAUAUUGAAAUGUUAUCCUGGGAAUUGUUUAUUUUUUUUAUACAUGUACUCGUUGUUGUUGAGCCUUGGGCGGACAGAGGAGGUUCUGUUCGUUCGGCGUCUGUGUACGGGCCCGGAUCGACCAAAUUGGCGAUAGCGGGACGUGACAAUCCUCUUGGGUACGAUUAGCAUUCGAAGAUGGUGCGCCCCAACUUGUAAUGACUUCUAUGAUUCGGCUACUUCUUGGAAUUUCAACAUCGACGUAAGAGCAAAAUCUCAAAUCUGCAUCUAAUGUCAUUCCGUACCUUGGAGGUUGGAGUGAAAAUUUAGCGCAGAUCUUGCGGAGUAAACGGCGAAAAUUAAUGUCAAUGCUAAUAGACGCCGCCAUUGCUGCAGUCAAAUGAAAGAUAAGGGAAAGUACAGUUCAUCAC
rnacentral:lncRNA from 1 species